AGCCUGAUCAGUGAAGUACCAGUAGUGGAGGAGUAGCACAAGGUCAUGGGCAUCAUGAACUCGGCUUGCUAAAUACUACGUCCCUCUCGAAUAAUCAGAGAAGCACAAGGUCGAAUACGAGGUUCAUAGGUUGGUGGUCAACAGGGAUCAUAAGUUCACCAAUUUUGCUGAGGAAUACUCACAGUGAGAAUAACUUGCAGUUAUUGACGGCAUCUGUCUCUUUCUCUGAUACUCAACCAAAAACAAUAAAGGCUUCACAACCACCACUUUAUGAAGUUGUAUUGCAUAUUAACAUUAGUGAGUUAUCUAUUUAAUAAAUGAUAACACCAUCUUCUGCAAUUAUAGGACUACUUUUUCAUAUGCAAUGUGCAAAUCAUUAGAGUUGUGAAGGAACUAUAUUGGCGUUAUGUUGGAUGUCGAGAUUGUGCAAAAAAAAAAAACAAUCAACUUCAGGACAAGUCUAUUGCAAAUCAUGUAAUAGGGAAGUAGUGGCUCAAACCAG